rnacentral:rRNA from 1 species
UACGAGGGGAGCAAGCGUUGUUCGGAUUUACUGGGCGUAAAGGGCGCGUAGGCGGUCGUGACAAGUCACUUGUGAAAUCUCCGGGCUUAACUCGGAACGGUCAAGUGAUACUGCCGGACUAGAGUACAGAAGGGGCAACUGGAAUUCUCGGUGUAGCGGUGAAAUGCGUAGAUAUCGAGAGGAACACCGGUGGCGAAGGCGGUUCUCUGGGCCUUACCUGACGCUGAGGAGCGAAAGCGUGGGGAGCGAACAGG